rnacentral:lncRNA from 1 species
ACAGGGCGGGGCUCCUCCGAAAGGCGGCGAAGGAGGGGGUCCAGUGAGCUCUGGGGAUACCUGGUGAAGGUUGUCUGAGAUCCUCCCAAUGGAAGAUGAGAGGAUGGAGACCCUCGUGGGCAGAGGGCUGAGGGGCAGGGUCCAAUGGGGCCGAGGAGCCCUUCAGUGUUGAGGGGGGCCAGGGACCUGGAGGGUUCAGGGAGGAGGGCUUCUGUGGCGCCUGGAGGUCUUGGAAGGGGCAGAAGAAGGAGCCGCCCAGUGGCUUUACUCUGUCCAGCCGUGCACAAUCGCCGCACAAAAGCUUGCGCAGUCCAGAAAUUCGCCCAGGCCCUGACCAGCGCGCAAGCUCAUUAGUCAUUCAGCAAACAGUUGCUGUAUGCCAACUCUGCCAGGCUGGGAAAACCGGCGCUUGGUAUGGAGAAAGCCCGCCGGACGGGGGCGACACCACAAGUGGAGAAACUUAACUGUUAAGCACCCACUGUGCCAGGUGAGUGGCCCACGCCUGUAAUCGCAGUGUGCCGGGACAAACCAGGUAAAGUGCCCCGGAGGUCUGGUCCCCAGUACCAAAAGGAAACAGAACCACCCCAGCUGCUGUGCGCAGUUCCCCUAAGUACGAUGAACAGAAGGGUAGACACCUGCCCAGGGAAGCUGGCAACGGACAAGGGGAGCGCCCACAGCAGAGCAGGAGUGGGGCGGGAGGGAAGGGCCCGGAUGUCUACGGGGGGAGGAGCACGCCUGGGCGGCAGGGCUGGGAACGGAACCCAGGCCUCGCCAGGCCUCCCACCGAGUGGAGGGAAGCAGGAGCAGGGCGCUGCACAAGCCAGGCUCCCAUGAAGGGAAGGAAGGCAGGGAGGAUGGGCACAGAGGGCACAUCUCAGAACAGCACUCUUAGGAAAGCAACAAGUGCCAGACAAGCAGGACAUGAGCAAGGAGCCCUGGGAACAGCCUUCCAAGGCCAUGCAUGGAACCAGGUGAGAAGCUUCAUGGGACUCAACAUCCAAGCCCCACAGGAGCAGUGCCUGACUGGGACCCAGGGCAGGGCUGCGAGGCCUCACCUGCAUGAAGACGCACUACCUGUGGCUGAGGUGUGCAGGUGGAGGGCUCUGGGCAGUAAAAUGCCUCCUCGAAACUAACAAAAGCUCCUUCCCACCCCCAGGAACCUUGAAAGUACUCCUGCAGCAGGAACACCACUUACAGGGGCACAAGCUGGCCCCAGGACUCUCUGCUCCCAGCAUGGAGCUUUGGGCAGUAAGGAUGGCCUCAUUGCUCAUGAUAGGCAAGCAGAGUCACGCCCCAGACCAGCUGACCAUGUGAUUCCUUCUUGGAAAGUGACCUUCACAAGCCAUCCCAAACCAGCCCAGGGACCACGUGCUCACCAGCUGGAGUGCCUCCAGGUCAGUGUGCAGGGUACCUGGGCCACGGAGGGCCUGUAGGGGCCCAAUAUACUCUGUCAGUCUUCAGUAGUGUGGGUUGGGCGGGGGUGGGGUGGUGCUGCGCCCCUCCCCUGACUCCCGAAAAGGCAAGGCCCUACUGAGGUGGAGGGCACAAGGCGUCCAUCCUCUGGAGGAGCGCAAUGUUUCUGGGAACGGGCUGGUUUGUUUUUUGUAUUCCUGCUAAUAAGUAUAGUUGCGACUUGUCAUAUAACCAUUACAUAUGAAGGAAAAAACAUGAAUUUUCCAAUUGACGCAAGUACUUCUAAAGAAUAAAUCUGUUUGCUCUAAAUGCAAGGAUUCAGCUGGAACGUAAAUUGUAC